rnacentral:rRNA from 1 species
UCGGGCCCAUACCCGGCCGUCGCCGGCAACGGGAGCCUCGAGGGCUAGGCCGCGACGAGUAAGAAGGACGCCGCGGUGCGCACGGAAGCCUAGGGCGCGAGCCNGGNUGGAGNCNGCCGCG